rnacentral:rRNA from 1 species
AUUAUAAUAAUAAAAUAUUGUGCCAGCAAUUGCGGUUAAACAUUUCUUAUUAAUUAAUAAAAACAAUUUAAAUAAAAUAUUUUAAAAAAUAAAUUUAAAUAUAAUUUUAUAAUAAAAUAUAAAUUAUAAAAAAAUUUAUUAAUUUAAUUAAUUUAAUUUAAAAAUUAUUAAAAAAACUAGGAUUAGAUACCCUAUUAUUAUACCUAAAUUUUAAUUAAUUUAAAAAUUAAAUGAUAAAUCACUAAAUUUAAAAAAUUUGACAGUAUAUUAUUUUCAUAGAGGAAUAUAUUUUUAAUAGAUAAUAAACUAUAAUAAAUACUUAAAUUCAAUGUUUAUAUAUUAUUGUUUUAAAAUUAAAUUUUUAAAUUAUUAUUAAUUAAAAUAUUUUUAAAAUAAAAAUUCAAAUCAUAAUAUAACUUAUAUUUAAGAAAAUUAGUAUUACUUUAUUUUAAAAUAAAAUUUUAAAAAAUUAUUUUUUUAAAAAAUUAGAAUUUAUAACUAAAAAAAAUUAAUUAAUUUUUUUGAAAAUAUAAUUAAUAUAUGUACAUAUUGCCCGUCAUUUUCAUAACUGAAACAAGUCGUAACAAAGUAAAAUUACUGGAAAGUAAUUUUA